rnacentral:lncRNA from 1 species
CUUGCCAGGGACCAAGUUUUUGGCGCCGUUGCCGGGGACUCGUGGUUUAACUUAUCUAGUAGUGUAAACUAAUUAACUUUGACUUGACUGUAUAUAUUUUGUUUUUGUUUUUGUUUCUCUUUUUUUUUAUUUUUAUAUAAAAGUGCCACUAGAGUUUGUGUUUCUUGUGCAUGCAGCAGGAAACUAGACAUACUAGGAGCAAGAAAAAUAUGUAACCUCUUCUUGAAAGAUUAAGUGAGACAAGGG